UACGUAGGGUGCAAGCGUUGUCCGGAAUUAUUGGGCGUAAAGAGCGUGUAGGCGGCCCGAUUAGUCCGCUGUGAAAGUCCAGGGCUCAACCCUGGAAUGCCGGUGGAUACUGUCGGGCUAGAGUCCGGAAGGGGCGAGUGGAAUUCCUGGUGUAGCGGUGAAAUGCGCAGAUAUCAGGAGGAACACCGGUGGCGAAGGCGGGUCUCUGGGCCGAUACUGACGCUGGAGGAGCGAAAGCGUGGGGAGCAACAGG
rnacentral:rRNA from 1 species